rnacentral:rRNA from 1 species
AGAAUCAACGCUGGCGGCGUGCCUAACACAUGCAAGUCGCACGAGAAAGUGGAGCAAUCCACGAGUAAAGUGGCGCACGGGUGAGUAACACGUGAAUAAUCUACCUCCGAGUGGGGAAUAACUGAGAGAAAUCUUAGCUAAUACCGCAUAAUACCUUCGGGUCAAAGGAGCAAUUCGCUUAAGGAGGGGGUCGCGGCCGAUUAGUUAGUUGGCGGGGUAAUGGCCCACCAAGACUGUGAUCGGUA